rnacentral:misc_RNA from 1 species
GAUCACUGAAUCAUCAAUUGCUCCUCCUUUCUCAUUUGUGAAGACAGUUAGGGUCCCAGUUCCUGGUGCAAGCUCAGCAACAUCAGCAAUAACAAGCUUCUCAAGAAAAGGAACACAGUCCUUUCCUAUGAGGCUCAGCCCGCACAUGUGGGAGACAUCAAAGAGGCCACCAUGUUCUCUACAAUUUAUAGUAGAAUCCAUGAUCGAGUCCUUAUACUGAAUGGGCAUACUCCAUCCAGCAAAUGGC